CUGAAUGGGAUACGCCCAUGUUAUCACAGAGGUACCCUCUGGAACCCACUAGAGCAGCUGUGCUUGUCUGCAAGAAAAGAACAAAAAAAGCCAAGAUAUAAAUUUGAGCGUCCAGGAAGUAAGCUUUUCACAUCUUUUCACUAACCUUCAGAAGGGAAGAAGAUGAUAAAGACAAACAAUGGAAAAAGCAUUAAGUACUUGCUGGUCUUAAUAGCACCCGUGAAUGGAGUUGCAGUGGAGAUGCCUGCUUCGUAUGGAGUGACUAUUUCUUGAAAGGGGGAGGCAGCCCAUUCCAUUUGCUAGAGUAGAGAAUUAAGAGUUAGAAGACCUGGGUUCUCUUCCUGCUCUGCCAAUGACUUAUUGUGGAAUACCUGAGCAAAUGGCUUAAACUCUGUACCCCAACUUCCUCAUUUUAAAAAAAGGGGCUUCCAGCUUUCUUUCAUGGCAUUUUUUCAAUGGCCCUUCUUUGCUAUGCACCGUGGCAUCUUUGUGAGAAGGAUGGAUCCCGCACUGCUCUCCUACGCUCUGUUAACUGUCAUGAAGACAUCGCGGAUGGCAGUGCGGCUACUCAUGACGUUCCUAACUGAAGAAGACUCACAGGUGUGGGAUGACAAGCAGUGGCUACAGAACUUUCAGAUGCAGAAAGCCACUUUCCUGGAACUGUGCGCAGAGCUCGCCCCAGACCUGCGGUGUAAGGACACUAGAAUGAGAGCUGCCCUCUCAGUAGAGAAGCAUGUGGCAAUUGCUGUGUGGCAGCUGGCAACUCCAGACUGCUACUGGUCGGUCAUGAAUCAAUUUGGAGUGAUACAAAGUCGACUGUUGGGACUG